rnacentral:rRNA from 1 species
GAUGAACGCUGGCGGCGUGCUUAACACAUGCAAGUCGAACGAUUAAGACCCCUUCGGGGGUGUAUAGAGUGGCGAACGGGUGAGUAACACGUGGGCAACCUGCCCCUUCCUCUGGGAUAACACGGAGAAAUCCGUGCUAAUACCGGAUACUCCAUAUCUGCGGCAUCGCGGAUAUGGGAAAGCUCCGACGGGAAGGGAUGGGCCCGCGGUCCAUUAGCUAGUCGGUGGGGUAACGGCCUACCGAGGCGACGAUGGAUAGCCGGGUUGAGAGACCGACCGGCCACAUUGGGACUGAGACACGGCCCAGACUCCUACGGGAGGCAGCAGUGGGGAAUUUUGCGCAAUGGGGGAAACCCUGACGCAGCAACGCCGCGUGCGGGAUGAAGGCCUUCGGGUUGUAAACCGCUUUCAGCAGGGAAGAAUACAGACGGUACCUGCAGAAGAAGCUCCGGCUAACUACGUGCCAGCAGCCGCCGUAA